AUUGAACGCUGGCGGCAUGCCUUACACAUGCAAGUCGAACGGUAACAGGUCUUCGGAUGCUGACGAGUGGCGAACGGUGAGUAAUACAUCGGAACGUGCCUAGUAGUGGGGGAUAACUACUCGAAAGAGUGGCUAAUACCGCAUGAGAUCUACGGAUGAAAGCAGGGGAUCGCAAGACCUUGUGCUACUAGAGCGGCCGAUGGCAGAUUAGGUAGUUGGUGGGAUAAGAGCUUACCAAGCCGACGAUCUGUAGCUGGUCUGAGAGGACGAGCAGCCACACUGGGACGGAGACACGGCCCAGACUCCUACGGGAGGCAGCAGUGGGGAAUUUUGGACAAUGGGCGGAAGCCUGAUCCAGCAAUGCCGCGUGCAGGAUGAAGGCCUUCGGGUUGUAAACUGCUUUUGUACGGAACGAAAAGCCCCGGGUUAAUACCCUGGGGUCAUGACGGUACCGUAAGAAUAAGCACCGGCUAACUACGUGCCAGCCGCCGCCGUAA
rnacentral:rRNA from 1 species